CGCCGGGGCCGCCUAGAGAAGAGGCUGUGCUCUGGGGCUCCAGCUCCUCAGAGAGCUUCGGCUAGAGUUCCUGAAGGCAGCAGGAGUGACACAGGGAUAAAAGCAGGCACGUCGGCAACCAGGCAACUUCCUACAUGAAACAGUUCCUGAAGGCACCGGGAACAACAGGGAGGAAAAAGCAGGCAUCUCCACACCAGGCAACUUCUUGUAUGAGCUAGGUAGUACUGC